UGUACCUACGGGGGGCAGCAGUAGGGAAUCUUCCACAAUGGACGAAAGUCUGAUGGAGCAACGCCGCGUGAGUGAAGAAGGGUUUCGGCUCGUAAAGCUCUGUUGGUAGGGAAGAAAGAUAGAGGGAGUAACUGGCCUUUAUUUGACGGUAAUUACUUAGAAAGUCACGGCUAACUACGUGCCAGCAGCCGCGGUAAUACGUAGGCGGCAAGCGUUGUCCGGAUUUAUUGGGCGUAAAGCGAGUGCAGGCGGGUCAAUAAGGCUGAUGUGAAA
rnacentral:rRNA from 1 species